AAUAUUUUGUUAGUUUAAUUCAUGGAUAAAAUUUAGAUAAACACAAAACAUAACAUGGUUUUUAAAAUUAACUAAGCACAUUAACAAACAUGAAUCUAAUUUCUAACUGAUCAUCAUCAUCGUAAAUGAAGAUUUCAUAUUAAACUCCCAAACACUUGAGCCAAAGGCAACAACGGGCUUUUGCUGGUUGGAUCUCAAUAUCCUUGUCAUGUUCUAUCCUCUCCACAGUUGAAUCUUUCUCUAUCUCCGGAGAAGAUGAAGACCCUUUUCCUCUCGAUUGAAAAAGUUCAAACUUUUCACUUUCACUUGACCCUACUUCUCCUGAGUAAUCAAGUACGAAAUCAGUUUUCUUAGCCCAUGAAUUUAAGUUUUUUGGAUUGUGAUCAGUGUUUGGAACAAAAUUGAAUCUAUCUUUUGAAUAAUUGAGAGGAUUCCAACUUCUUUUGUUCAAUGAUUUUGAGUUUGACCCAAUUUCCAUUGACAAUUUUUUUUAACAAAAUGAUGGUAAUGGAAUCAACCCAAUGUUAUGGAAAGAAUAAGGAUGAUA
rnacentral:lncRNA from 1 species